rnacentral:piRNA from 1 species
UAGUGGUAUUGGUUAGAGAAGACUUUCUGU